AAAUUGAAGAGUUUGAUCAUGGCUCAGAUUGAACGCUGGCGGCAGGCCUAACACAUGCAAGUCGAACGGUAACAGGAAGCAGCUUGCUGCUUCGCUGACGAGUGGCGGACGGGUGAGUAAUGUCUGGGAAACUGCCUGAUGGAGGGGGAUAACUACUGGAAACGGUAGCUAAUACCGCAUAACGUCGCAAGACCAAAGAGGGGGACCUUCGGGCCUCUUGCCAUCGGAUGUGCCCAGAUGGGAUUAGCUAGUAGGUGGGGUAACGGCUCACCUAGGCGACGAUCCCUAGCUGGUCUGAGAGGAUGACCAGCCACACUGGAACUGAGACACGG
rnacentral:rRNA from 1 species